AGACACUAAAAUAAUCUACAAUGGUAUUAGACACGUAAUGCUAAUAUGUGAACCAGUGAUACAAAAAAUAAAUUGUGCGGAAAAUGUGCAAGUGCUGCAAACGGUAGGGGUCUUAUCAAGCCUGCCUAAUAUGUCUUCAGUAUAGCUAUUUAGACAAGUGUCCAAAUUGUAUUUAUUUUUUGUAUCACUGGUUCACAUAUUAGUAUUACGUGUCUAAUACCAUUGUAGAUUAUUUUAGUGUCUAAAAACAUUGAAGACUAUUUUUAACAAUUGUAACCUUAUAUCCUUAUGUUGAGUUAUUUACUUUUUGUAUGGGUAAACCUUUGGCCGGUGUUUGAGAGUUAGUAUCUGGGCGCGACUUAGGUUCUCUUUUUCAAUAUACCUGCUUUAAGGAUUUUUUUUCUUUUCAUAUAAUACUGAAUGGAGGGUUAAUGAGUCUUUAGGGUUUCAAAGAAAACCCCUUUCUGUCUCAUUGGAGAUUUUGCCUUUAAGUUGAAAGCAGAAAGGUGACCUGCUGACACUUUGAUGUCCAAUGCGGUGGUGUUAAAAAUCUGUUAUUUAAGUUUCUACUUUUGUAACAUCUAUUACAUUUUACAACUAACUGAUGCCCAAGCCCAAAAGUGCAGAAGAAUUCCAUUUAGGGGUUUGUGCUUAUCCCAUAAAAUAUCUUUGAGAUUUGGGAAAUUUACUAAAAAGUGCUUUCAGAUCAUAAACAAAAUGUGUAUUGUGUCAAUAUUCUUCUUUAUUUGGUUACAAAAGCACAACUAGUAUAGUAUUUGAAUGAACUAGGUAUGUUUAUAUACAUUUUAUCAGUUGAUAGUUUGUUUUUCUUAUUAAUAUUAGUUUUAGUUGCACAAUUUAGGAUAACCUUCAACAUUCCAUUUCAUAUUCCACUUUGAUUAAAAAUGGGUGUAGGCCUGGUUUAUUGGAUAUAUUUUUCUUUAAAAGUUACCAUUGUUGAUUCAGAAUUCGCAGAUCACCAUAAAUGGUCAUAGCCAGCCCUUGCAAUAUCCUGCACCCCACUAUUGCUGAACCCAAAGGCAUUACACUUACAUACAUUUUCACAAACAAGACUCAUUAGCAAUGUAAAAGUACAGAAUGAGGUCAAAUAGCAGGAAUUUCAUGGAAACAGAACUGAGGACAUCAUCUGCUCGUUAACGACUAAUUUGAUCUUUUUUUGAAUUUAUGGAUGUGUCCAGUAGGCCCCAUCCCCAGUUUUUUUUAAUUUUUUUUAAAUACUCUUGUGUAUCACGUAGUCAUACAAUAAAAAUCAGCUUUACACAAAGGACAAAUAGUAGAUAAUGCAAUACCAUAUCUCAUUUCUAUUAUAGUUACAAUCACAGGCUACUGCAGAUAGCAUGCUGUUAUUGAAUAACAUUCGCUUAUUAAUUAAGAAUCCACAAAUGACAUGGUGCUGUUAAAAAAAAACAGAAUUCCAGUUACAAUGUCCUCAACGCUCUUUAUUUUUCCACGAACCAUAAUUCUAGAAUGGUUUCAAAAUGAUUUACCAAUUUAACCUCCAGAUUUUCAUUAUGCCUACGCUGUCAAUAUAUUCGAAAAGAAUAAAAUUCAAUUUGUAAUUGCAUUUGGAAAUAAUUGUAAAAUGUUGUUGUACACAUUAUUGAACCUGUAAGAAGCAUUUAUUUUAGGGGCAAAUAUAUCGAUGUUUUUCACUUCACAAAUUCUCUGUUUUUGUUUAUUUUCUCUAAUAUUGUAUGUAAAUAUAAUGAAUGGAC